AUUCAUGAACUUGAUUUAUGGUUUAUGAAGUUGGGUAUAUUGGAUAUGGUUCGUGAACUUGGUUUAUUUUGGUUCAUGGGCCUUGAUUCAUGAACUUGGGUUAUGAUCCGUGGUGUUUGGUUCACGAACUUGGGUGAGGUUCAUGGAUAUGGUUCGUGGUUCAUGAACUUGGUUUAUGAGUUUUGGUUCAUGAGACUUUAUUCAUGAACUUGGGUAUAGGAUUUGGGAUUUGGUUCACGAACUUAGAUAUGGUUUAGGUUCAUGAGCCUAAGUUGGAAGUUGGAUUUGGAUUUUGGGUUUGGAUUUGGAUUGUGGACUUGAUUUGAGUUGGGUUUGGGUUUUAGUUUUGGGUUCGGGUUUCAGUUUGGAUUUUGGUUUUAUUUAUAGACUUGGUUUUGGUUGGGUUUGGAUUCUAUUUGUGGAAUGGGUUUGGGUUCUUUAUGUGGACUUGGUUUGGAUAAGGUUUGGAUGUGGACUUGAUUUGGGUUUGGGUUUGGAUUUGAUUUGGGGUUUGGGUUUAUUUGUGGACUGUAUUUGGUUUUGGUUUGGUUUGGGUUCGGAUUUUAUUUCGGGUUCGAGGCAAUCCACUUUUGAUUUUUGCAAUUUGGUUCGGAUCCAAAGAAAUCCCCUUUUGAUUUUGGUUUGAUUUGGGGUUCGAAGAAAUCCUCUUUUGACCUCGAUUUGGAUUUGGGGUCCGAAGAAAUCCCCGUUUUGAUUUUCCCUUUUGAUUUUGAUUUAGAUUUGAUUUUCAAAUUUGAUUUGGGGUCCAAAGAAAUCCCCGUUUGAUUCUCCAAUUGGAUUUGAUUUGGGGUCCGAAGAAAUCCCCGUUUGAUUCUCCAAUUGGAUUUGAUUUUUCAAUUUUGAUUUGGGGUCCGAAGAAAUCCCCUUUUGAUUCUGAUUUGGGGUCCGAAGAAAUCUCCGUUUUGAUUCCAAUUUGGGGUCCGAAGAAAUUCCCGUUUUAAUUUUGAUUUGGGGUCUGAAGAAACAGAGAAUCAAAGAUUCCCCUUCCCGCUUCUGGCGAUACUUCCCCGGCGAUGCUGUAGAUGUCGUCGGCGAAGUUGUUGACGGUGGCACGGAUCUGUUCGGCCGUCGGAUUUGAUUUGACAUUUUCAAAGAAAUAUUGAAGGGUCCGAAGAAAUGGGGAAUCAAAGAUUCCCCUCCCUUCUUCUUUCGAAAGUAUCAAACCGGCGAUGCUGUAGAUGUCGUCGGCGAAGUUGUUGACGGUGGCACGGAUAUGUUCGGCUGUCGGAUUUGAUUUGACAUUUUCGAAGAAAUAUUGAAGGGUCCGAAGAAACAGGGAAUCAAAGAUUUCUCUCCCCUCUUCUUUCGAAAGUAUCAAACCGGCGAUGUUCGGGUGGUCGCGACAAUAUAGAUCACCCAUUCCAUCAUCAACAACUACGAAUGGGGUAUUGAGAGGUCCGAAGAAACGGGGAAUCAAAGAUUCCCCUACACUCUCCCAUUGAAGCCAUCUAGAUGGUAUGGAUGGCUACAAUUGCAGGACCAAAAAAAAAAAAAAGAAAAAAGGGGAGAAGAAGAGAGAUCUUUUUUUUUUCUUUUUUUUUUCUUUUUAUGUUUUCUUUUUUUUUUUCUUCUUCAUUUUUCUUCUUUUUUUUUUUUUUAAUCUAUUGAUCAUGACGGAUUGGAUGAAUCAGCUCGACGAUUCCUCCACCUUUCCGCGGCUCAACGAUCUCUCCUCCUUUUUGCUGCUCGGCGAUUUCUCCUCAUUUCCGUGGCUCGGCGAUUUCUCCUCCUUUUCGCGGCUCGACGGUCCUCCUCCUUUCCGCGGCUCGGCGAUAUCUCCUUUUUCUUUUUUUUUUGUAUGUCGGAACGAGUGUAGCAAUCUAUCUUUUUUUUUUUUGUUCUUUGUCUAUCGUAUCGUCUCCGUAAAAAAAAUUCUCCGGAGUUUGAUUUCGGUUCUCAUAUUUAUAAUGGGAGGAGUGGUGAGAGAUAUUUUGAGGGAUUCGAAAUUCAAAUUCGAAUUUUGAAUAGGUUGUUGUAGUUGGUUGAAAGAUAUUUGGGAUUGGUUGGGAAUUGGUUGGAAAUUUGAAAUUCAAAAUUCGAAUUUUGAAUGGGUUGUUGAAUGGUUGGAGGAUAUGUUGGGAAUUGGUUCGGAAUUCGAAAUUCGAAAUCGAAUUUUGAAUGGGUUGUUAGAGGAUAUUUUGGGAAUAGGUUGGAAAUUCGAAAUUCAAAAUUCGAAUUUUGAAUGGGUUGUUGGAUGAUAUUUUGAGAAUUGGUUGGGGAUUGGUUGGAAAUUCGAAAUCGAAUUUUGAAUGGAUCGUUGGAGGAUAUUUUGGGAAUUGGUUAGGAAAUUCGAAAUUCGAAAUCGAAUUUUGAAUUGGUUGUUGGAUGAUGUUUUGGGAAUUGGUUGGGAAUUCGAAAUUCGAAAUCGAAUUUUGAAUAGGUUGUUGGAGGAUGUUUUGGGAAUUGGUUGCGAAUUCGAAAUUCAAAAUUCGAAAUCGAAUUUUGAAUGAGUUAUGAUUUGAAAUCGAAUUUCGAACAUAUAUUUUAUAGGGUGUGGAUGUGGGCCGUCAUUGAUCAGACCCAUUUUAAUUUAUUGGGCCCAAAUGAUAAUAUUUAAUGGGCUGAAAUAAGGCCCUUUUUUUUUAUUUGUUUGCAUGGGCUUUAAUGAGGCCCACCAACGAACAUUUAUGAAUGGACCUAUUAUAUAUUUAAACUAUAAUUAUUGGCCAAAAAAUUUAAUGGUAUGAGUCCGAAUUUAAUCAGUUUUGAUUAGGACUACUUUACCCCAAUUUUUUUUUUUUACUUCAAAUAAAUUGCCCCCCACCUUUUCGACGUAAGAGUUUCACGCGACGAAAAGGUGCUCUUUUUUUCAUUCUUUCUGAUUUUUUUUUUUUUUUUUUUUUUUUUUGUGGCUUGAUNGAACUAGUUCCCAAGUGUGGUUGUCUAGAGUGUAGGGUAUCCUCAAUGAUGGGGGAUAUGAUCAUACUCAUAUGUCUGUUCGAAGCUUGGAGUGGUCGCUCCACACAAGCAGUGUACUCCGGAGUUGUCACACGAUAGGGAUAACCUUUUUGGGUCCCGAGGGGUUAGCCUUUUUGGGCCCCGCAGACAGUCUUGGGCGAGUGAGCUGAUCCUCCCCAUGUGAGUCAGGUGAGUGAGCUGAUCCUCACCUGUGAGAUUCAGAUUGGGUUGUGGUAUUUGUGUCAGUCGGGCUAGUGAGCGGAUCCUCCCCGAAGUGUUAGAUUGUGAGUCGGGCGAGUGAGCGGAUCCUCCCCGAAGUGUUUAGAUAGCGAGUCGGGCGAGUGAGCGGAUCCUCCCCGGUAUGUUAGAUUGUGAGUUGGGUGAGUGAGCGGAUCCUCACCUGUGUGAUUAAGUAAGUAUGGCAUUUCAUUAUUGUUGAAGCAUCAUGUAGUAGAAUUGUAGUUAUUUACUAUGAUUAAAGUUAUGCAUGCAUUAUUGCAGAUUGAGGCAUAGUUAGAUGUUCAUUUUAUACUCCUAACUGUUUAUUAUAAAUGCUUUCAAUUCAGCACAACUAUCUAUCUAUUUGCAUUAUCUCUCUAUGCCUGCUUAGACCUAGCGGGGAGAUCGGCGGAGUCGGCGGCCGAACCCACUGGGAACUAUUCGUAGUUCUCACCCCGUGUGGUUUUGGGGUACAGGUCCGAGUACUAGCGCACCGGUCGAGGAUCGUGGCAAGGGCUUAGCGCCCUAGAGGUUGUAGUAGUAGCUUUCUUACUCCUAUGCAUUAGUAGUACCCUAUUUCUAUUUUGAGAGUAGAUGAUGUAUAGGGUGUGAGGUGUUUUGGAUGAUGUAAACUUAAUGUUUAAUAUUUUGGAAGUUAAAUGUAAUCAAAUGUAUUAAGUUGAAUGGAUGUAAUAGAUUAGUACCUCUCUUUUAUUCACUUGUAUGUUGGUUACUCGUGAUGCUUGCUCUUGUUUGUUUUGCACUGUUUGUGCUCUCGCUAUCAUUGUAUGAUCAUGUAUGUAAACGAGUGUAUUUCCUGGGAACUUGUGUACAUGAUCUCGUCGCUUGAGCCUUGGGCAGACAGGGGAGACUCUGUCCGUUCGGUGUCCGUUCGCCGCGCCCGAACCGGACCAAAUUGGUAGCGGGCUCGGGGCGGGGGCGUGACAGAGCCCGUGGAGCUACGUGAGGACAUGUCCUACGAGGAGUACCCGGUGUGCAUCCUCGAUAGAGAAGUGAAGAAGUUGCGAAGUCGCAAGAUUCCGUAUGUAAAAGUCCAAUGGAGCAAACAUGCUGCGCGAGAAGCCACUUGGGAGCACGAAGAAACUAUGCGGCGAGAGUACCCGCAUUUAUUCGAGUCAAUUAGUUAAGAUAUGCGUAAUUUCGCGGACGAAAUUAUUUUAAGAGGUGGAGAAUGUGAUAUACCGAAAAUUCGGAAAAUAAAUAUCGAACUUUAGUCAAAUUGAUCAAAGUGCGAGGAUGGUACAUUUCGGAAAGUCCGAAGGUGUUAAAAUGAUCAAAAACGUGUUAUGGGAGGUUUUCGAGAGCUAGGGAAUCAAAAAUCUGCAAACUGCAGCUUUUGAGCUCUCGGGGACCGGUCCCUGGUGGGAGCGACCGGUCCCCGUGCGCGUGAGAAGUAUGACAGCCGAAAAAUCGGCUAAGUCCUGAGAAGUUAGCUCUCGGGAACCGGUCCCUGCCUGAGAGACCGGUCCCCGAGAGACCGGUCCCCCAAGGAGGGACCGGAUGCAUUGCGCGCGGCAGCUCUGGCUGCGCAGGGUGGACCUUCGGGGACCGGUCCCUGCUCGGGGAGACCGGUCUCUGCCUGCGAAAACUGCCCAGUCCAGGCUGUGUGAAAUAGUGAAAGCUGAAGGGUUUAUUUGCAUUUUUGCAACCCAUGGGUUAAGUGGAGGGCUGAGAGAGCCUUUUCUCUCAUUCUCCCCCUCACACACACUCUCUUCUCUCUCUCUCUCUCUGUAGAAGACAAAGGAGAAGAAGAAGAAAGGAAGAAAAGAAGGAGAAGAAGGAAAAGAAGGUGAAGAAGAAGAUCAAGGAGCAAAGGAGCUUCAUCUUCUUCCUCUCUAGUGCAAGAAAGGAGAGCUUACAAUGUAAGCUUUGAACCCUAAUGUAGUAAAACCCUAGAAAUGAGUUUGAAUGAACCUAGAAAUGGUUUUAAUGGAUUGUUUAGAGUUUUUGAAGCUUUCUCUUUGCUUCUUUAGAGAUCAAAACCUUGGUUUGCUAUAGAGGUGAGCUUGGACCACCUCUCAUGGUGAAAUCCAAUCUAGGGUUUUGGAAAGCCCAAGAAUGGUUCUAAUGGACUAUUUAGAGUAUAAUGAAGCUACUUUUGCUUCUCUUUGAGAUCAAACCCUAGGUUUUGAUAUACAUUGGAGCUAGGGCACCCAAAUUGGGGCUUUUGCACAUAGGAAUUUCUAAGUGCAAUUGACUCUCUAGAAACCUAAUUGGGGGUACUUCCGACGUGUUGGUGCGCUCGGAUUAGCGUUACGAAAAGCCGAUGUAAAGAUAUGAGCAAAAUGGCCUAAUAGGGCUUCGUUUUGCCGCAGGUAGCGAACCGGGUGUCUAAAAAUCCCAAGAAAAUCGUCGGAGCACCUUUGAAACCCUACGAGGUAGGUGGUGCUUCUCAAACUCGUUGAACUUCUCUCUAUGCCUAAUGUGUCAUUCAAUUGAGCAUGUAUAUAUAUAUUGUUGCAUGCAUACUAGGGUAAAGUAAUGAUGAAAAGUUAAUGUUGCAUGAUUGUGAGUACAACUUGCAUAAUAUGAUGAAUGAGAACUAUGUAAAUGUCGAAAUCCCUAUGUGUAUGCAUGAGAGAAAAGUGAGCACCCAAAGUGAGCAAAAGAACAGAGUGAUACUAUGACAUAAAUCGAGUGGCAUUUGAAAAUGUAAAGUAAAGAGACACUAGAGUUAGUGUGAUGCAAAGAACUAUCGUGACGUAAAGAAUGAGGAAAAUGACAAUGUCUAAAGUUAAAGUAAUGUGGGGAGUAAAGAACACGAAGUGCUAAAGGUAGCCAAAAGUAAAGAAUGUAAAGAAUAUAAUUGCUAGAGUUAGCAAAAGUAAAAGAGAANUGGCUUGAUCUUUCUUCUUCUUUUUUUUUGUUUUGUUCAGAUCCAUCUUUUUUUUUUCUCGGUCCCUGUUUUGACCCCUUUUUUUUGUUCCUACUCUGACUGUUGUUUUCUUCUUUUUUUUUUUUUUAAGAUCUCUGCUUUGAUCGUACCCUCUUUUUGUCUCUUUGUUUCUUCCCACUUUUAAUAUAUUUUUUUUUAAAGAUCUUUUCCAUACCAGCGGUCGAUUGGAUAUAGGUUGUGUAGUUUAACGACAUGAUGGUCGAUGUAAAUGUGCUCAGUUCAGUGACAUGGUGGUCGAUAUAAAAGUGCUCAGUUUAGUGACAUGGCAGUCGAUUGGAUAUGUGCUGCUCAGUUUAAUGACACGACGGUGGAUUGGAUAUGGGCUGCUCAGUUUAACGACAUGGCGGUGGAUUGAAUAUGGGCUGCUCAGUUUAACGACAUGGCGGUCGAUUAAAUAUGAGCUGCUCAGUUUAACGACAUGGCGGUCGAUUAGAUAUGAGCUGCUCAGUUUAACGACAUGUCGAUCGAGUGGAUAUGGGUUGCUCAGUUUAACGACAUGGCGGUCGAUUGGAUAUAUGCUGCUCAGUUUAACGACAUGGCGGUCGAUUGGAUAUGGGUUACUCAAUUUAACGACAUGGCGGUCGAUUGAAUAUGGAAUGCUCAGUUUAACGACAUGGCGGUCGAUUGGAUAUGUGCUGCUCAGUUUAANUUUCUAUUAUGCCUGAGUUAGUCCUAGUGGGAAAGUCGGUGAUAUUGAGGCCGAAUCCACUGGGAACUUUGUUGUAGUUCUCACCCCACUAUUUCCACAGAGCCGGGACCGAGCGAGCCGACAAGCGACCGAGGUAAAGGUAUCGUGCCUUAGACAGAGGCCACCAGAGUUGAGUUGGGUUUACACUUUGUUAGUAAAGUACCCUAUGAUCAUCUUUUGUAUAUGAUGGUAAAUGAUGUAAAGAAUAGAAUGUAAUGUGUAUUUUGAGGUAAAUGUGAUGUAAGAAAGAAAUGAUGAAACGAAAUGCAAAGAAUCCUAAAUGUAAGAAAUGGAUGCAAUGUAUAUGAUCUAAAAUGAAUCAUAUUACUNUGGAUAUGUGCUGCUCAGUUUAACGACAUGGCGGUCGUUUGGGUAUGGGCUGCUCAGUUUAACGACAUGGCAGUCGAUUGAAAAUAUGCUGCUCAGUUUAACGACAUGGCGACCGAUUGAAUAGCGGUCAUUUUGGUGUUAGUGAAUAUGGAUUUAUUUUGCCUCGAGAAUCAAUCGAAAUUGUCGCGCUAAUCGACCCUAAGGUGACUUAGCAUUCCGUCAUAGGCAAAAUAUAUUUAAUUUGGGUAGUCUGGCGCCCAUAUGGGUUUUCACCAGGUACAUUCCCCUAACUAUUGCCUGUGAGCCUCGAAAGGCUUUCUCACAGCGGGGAUCCCAAUUUUGCCUGUGGUUAUACCACAGCCGGAGAAUUUUUGCAAUUUUACCCUUGAAAUCCGAUGUGAACAAUCAAGUCCGCUGGUGGCUCAUAUUUUACCCAUAUUAUCUAAAAAAAAUUUAGACAACAUGUCCUCCACCUCUUUUUUUUGUAUCAGGAAAUAUGUAUUUUUUUUAUUUAUUUUGCCUCGAGAAGCAAUUGAAAUUGCUACGCAUAACCGACUCUAAGGUGAGUUAGCAUUCCGUCAUAGGCAAAAUAUAUUUUGGAUACUUUGGUGCCCAAAUGGGUUUUCACCAGAUACCUUCCCCUAACUUUUGCCUGUGAGUCUCGAAAGGUUUUCUCACAGCGGGGAUCCCAAUUUUGCCUGUGGGGUUAUACCACAGCCGGGGACUUUUUGCUAUUUUACCCUUGAAGUCCGAUGUGGACAGUCAAGUCCGCUGGUGGCUCAUAUUAUCUAAAAAAAUUUAGACAACAUAUCCCCCACCUUUUCUUCUUUUUUUUUUUUAGGACCAAUUGAGAAGUGAUAUGUCUUUCAACUAUAUGGUUUAAUGAGGAUGGCCUCACUACGCAUGUUAGCCUCAUUUUGUCGGCUAUAUUUGCUUAGUUUAACGACCUGUCGGUCGAUUGGAUCAUUUUGGGUUCUUGAACGUUAUUGUCCUUGCCCCCAGCAACCUUUCCUCUGUGGAGUUGGCGGCUGUUAUUCUUUUUAAAGGACGCUCUCGUUGGAGGAAUGGUGGUUGUAGUAUCAUUAGAAAGCGCCAGCCUAUCGAAUACCGAUGCUUUCUGUACUUUGGCAUUUGGGAAUAUCAGUCUUCCCUCAGACUCCAUCCUCUUGGAUGCAGAUUGGUAAGUGAGACAUUCGCCUAUAGGUCGGCGAUGAGGAUUGGGGAUGACCACAUUAGGUCGUCUUCCUCGAGAUGACAGUCGAAGAAUGACCACAUUGGAUUCAUCCUGAGAAGGGGCAGCUGGAAUGGUCAUGCCCCCAGGAAUAGCAGGAAUUUGAGCCAUGACAGCAGCUCGAACAUCUUCAGGAAUGGUGCCGAAUUGGAUUGAGGCACUUGCUGUUCCGAAUGUCAGGAUGGACGUGGGCAAGCAGACUCGCGAACCCGCCUCCAAUAUCAUUGAGUUUGUUGAUGCAGCGACCACGUUCUUGGAUGUUGGUGCCAUUUCCUGUUGCAAAGAGGUAGAAGUUAGAAAUUAUUUGCACAACCCCCUUAUUAUUAUUAUUAUUAUUUUUUAAGGUCUCGAAGACAGAAAGAGAAGCCAUGUCCCACCGAGCGUGCCAUUUUGUUUGCCACCACGAAUGACGCACCUCGCACGGUCGAUGGAUUUUGGCCGUGGGGUAGUAUUCAUGAUUCAGAUGAGUAUUUAUAUGUAUAUGGGUAUCAGGUUUUGCAGGUCGAUGGCUUCCAAUAGAUGCAAGCAUCUAUUGUUAAUUACCCCCGUGGCAUUGGGGCACCUUCGAUUAAGAGACCUUUAUAGAGAGGAUGAGAUGAAUCGUGUCUUGGUUUAUUGAAUCCUAAGUAUAUGUAUUAGGAUUCAGUUGGAUUUGAGAUUGACUAGGUCCUAAGUAUAUCUGUUAAGACCUAGUCGAUAUUAAACUCUAAGUAUAUGUAUUAAAGUCUAAUUGGCUCUGAGUUUAUAUCUUAGAGUCCGAUUAUAUUCACCUUAGUUGUAUAUUCCAAGGUAGAGAUAUGACCCGACCUCACAUAUAUGUAUUGAGGUGGGUCGAAUUACCCGAAAGUAGAGGGUGGUUAAUUCCUGAGUAUAUGUAUCAGGAUUAACCGAGUUUAAUAUAUUUUUCACUCUAGUUACAUGUGCUAGAGUGAGGAUCUGACUAAGCCCUAAGGUAUUAUGUUAGGCUUCGUUGGAUUUGAGCUCUAAGUAUAUGUAUUAGAGCUCGAUCGGGUAUCGAUUUCACUCUAGGUAGAUGUGCUAGAGCAAAAGACUGACUAGAUCCUAAGUACAUGGGUUAGGACUAGUCGAGCUUGGUUUGACUUCCACUCUAGGUAUAUGUGUUAAAGCAAAAGGUUGACUAGACCCUAAGGAUAUGUGUUAGGGUUAGUCGGAUGAACUCUAAGUAUAUGUGUUAGAGUUCGAAUGAACUUGAUAUCAUUCGAUUGAAUUCUAAAUGUAUAAUUUAGAACUCUGUCGAUUUGGAGAUGUUUUGCCUUAGUAUAUGUGCUAAGGCGAUUGACGUAGCCCUAAGUAUAUGUCUUAGGGGUAGUCGAUAUUCGAUUUUUACUCUAGGUAUAUGUACUAGAGUAAAGGAAAAGUUCAUGAUGAACUUUGGGCAUGAGAUUUGGGUAUUGGUUCAUGAUAUUUGGGUAUUGGUUCAUAAGAUUUGGAUAUGGUUCAUGAGGUUGGGUAUAUGGUCUAUGGGAUUUGGUCCAUGGGCUUGGGUAGUGGUUUAUGGUUCAUGAGGUUUGGUGUAAGGGAUUUGGUUAAUGAACUUGGAUAUGGUUUAUGGAUGAGGUUUAUGAACUUGGUGUAUGGUUCAUGGGUUCAUAAGGUAUGGUUCAUGAACAUGGUGUAUGGGUCAUGAGGUUGGUUAUAUGAUCUUGGUUUAUGGUUUAUGGUGUAUGGUUUAUGGUUCAUGGUGUAUGGUUCAUGAACUUGGAUAUGGUUCAUGGAUGAGGUUUAUGAACUUGGUUCAUGGUUCAUGAUUCAUGAACUUGGUUUAUGGUUCAUGAGGUUUAUGGACUUGGUUUAUGGAUUUGGUUCAUGGUUCAUGAAUUUGGUGUAUGGUUUAUGGGGUUUGGUUUAUGAUUCAUGAACUUGGUGUAUGGUUCAUGGGGUUUGGUUUAUGAUUCAUGAACUUGGUGUAUGGUUCAUGGGGUUUGGUUUAUGAUUCAUGAACUUGGUGUAUGGUUCAUGAGGUUUGGUUUAUGAUUUAUGAACUUGGUGUAUGGUUCAUGAGGUUUGGUUAUGGUUCAUGAACUUAGUACAUGGUUCAUGAGAUUUGAGUCAUGAACUUGGUGUAUGGUUUAUGAGUUUAGUUUAUGAGGUUUGGUGUAUGGGAUUUGGUUCAUGAACUUGGAUAUGGUUCAUGAACUUGGAUAUGGUUCAUGAGAUUUGAGUCAUGAACUUGGUGUAUGGUUUAUGGUUCAUGAACUUGGUGUAUGGUUGUAUGGUCCAUGAGAUUUGGUUCAUGACUCAUGAGGUUGAGUAUGUGGAUCGGGUUCAUGAGCUUGGAUAUGGUGUAUGAGGUUUGGUGUAUGAAUCUUGAUUUAUGGACUUGAUUCAUGAUUCAUGAACUUGGUUUAUGGUUUAUGAAGUUGGGUAUAUUGGAUAUGGUUUAUGAACUUGAAUAUGGUUCACGGAUGAGGUUUAUGAACUUGGCUCAUGAAUCUUGGUUUAUGGACUUGAUUCAUGAUUUAUGAACUUGGUUUAUGAUUUAUGAAGUUGGGUAUAUAGGAUAUGGUUCAUGAACUUGGUUAUUUUGGUUCAUGGGCCUUGAUUCAUGAACUUGGGUUAUGAUCCGUGGUGUUUGGUUCACGAACUUGGGUGAGGUUCAUGGAUAUGGUUCGUGGUUCAUGAACUUGGUUUAUGAGUUUUGGUUCAUGAGACUUUAUUCAUGAACUUGGGUAUAGGAUUUGGGAUUUGGUUCACGAACUUAGGUAUGGUUUAGGUUCAUGAGCCUAAGUUGGAAGUUGGAUUUGGGUUUUGGGUUUGGAUUUGGAUUGUGGACUUGAUUUGAGUUGGGUUUGGGUUUUGGUUUUGGGUUUGGGUUUCGGUUUGGAUUUUGGUUUUAUUUAUAGACUUGGUUUGGGUUGGGUUUGGAUUCUAUUUGUGGAAUGGGUUUGGGUUCUUUAUGUGGACUUGGUUUGGAUUAGAUUUGGAUGUGGACUUGAUUUGGGUUUGGGUUUGGAUUUGAUUUGGAUUUUGUGUUUGGGUUUAUUUGUGAACUGUAUUUCGUUUUGGUUUGGUUUGGGUUCGGAUUUUAUUUCGGGUUCGAGGCAAUCCACUUUUGAUUUUUGCAAUUUGGUUCGG
rnacentral:lncRNA from 1 species